rnacentral:rRNA from 1 species
GUUAGGAAUAUUCGUCAAUGGGGGAAACCCUGAACGAGCAAUGCCGCGUGAGUGAUGAAGGUCUUCAUGAUUGUAAAACUCUGUUGUAAAGGAAGAAUAGCUAUUAUAGGUAAUGAUAAUAGUCUGACGGUACUUUACCAGAAAGCUCCGGCUAACUACGUGCCAGCAGCCGCGGUAAUACGUAGGGAGCAAGCGUUAUCCGGAUUUAUUGGGCGUAAAGCGUUCGUAGGCGGUUUGUUAAGUCUAAAAUUAAAGCCUGGGGCUCAACCUCAGUUCGUUUUAGAAACUGGCAGACUUGAGUGUGGUAGAGGCAAGUGGAAUUUCUAGUGUAGCGGUUAAAUGCGUAGAUAUUAGAAGGAACACCAGUGGCGAAGGCGGCUUGCUGGGCCAUUACUGACGCUGAGGAACGAAAGCGUGGGGAGCAAAUAGGA